rnacentral:rRNA from 1 species
UACGAAGGGGGCUAGCGUCGCUCGGAAUUACUGGGCGUAAAGCGCACGUAGGCGGCUUUGUAAGUUAGAGGUGAAAGCCCGGGGCUCAACUCCGGAAUUGCCUUUAAGACUGCAUCGCUAGAAUUGUGGAGAGGUAAGUGGAAUUCCGAGUGUAGAGGUGAAAUUCGUAGAUAUUCGGAAGAACACCAGUGGCGAAGGCGACUUACUGGACACAUAUUGACGCUGAGGUGCGAAAGCGUGGGGAGCAAACAGG